rnacentral:ncRNA from 23 species
AGCCUCGUCAUGGUGAAGGAGUACGAAAGUACCCUAACUCAUUCCUUAGAAUGUUUUGCACACCUAACACGGGGCUAU